UGGGGAAUAUUGCACAAUGGGCGCAAGCCUGAUGCAGCCAUGCCGCGUGUAUGAAGAAGGCCUUCGGGUUGUAAAGUACUUUCAGCGAGGAGGAAGGCGUUGUGGUUAAUAACCGCAACGAUUGACGUUACUCGCAGAAGAAGCACCGGCUAACUCCGUGCCAGCAGCCGCGGUAAUACGGAGGGUGCAAGCGUUAAUCGGAAUUACUGGGCGUAAAGCGCACGCAGGCGGUCUGUCAAGUCGGAUGUGAAAUCCCCGGGCGCAACCUGGGAACUGCAUCCGAAACUGGCAGGCUAGAGUCUUGUAGAGGGGGGUAGAAUUCCAGGUGUAGCGGUGAAAUGCGUAGAGAUCUGGAGGAAUACCGGUGGCGAAGGCGGCCCCCUGGACAAAGACUGACGCUCAGGUGCGAAAGCGUGGGGAGCAAACA
rnacentral:rRNA from 1 species